UGCAGUCGAACGGGCCUGGCAACAGGUCAGUGGCGCAAGGGUGAGUAAGGCGACGGUAACCAACCCCAUGGUCGGGUAUAGCCGCGGGAAACUGCGGGUAAUCCCCAGCGAUGUACGAGGCCGGCAUCGGCGUUGUACCAAAGCUCCGGCGCCGUGGGACGGGCCGUUGUGGUAUUAGGUUGUUGGCGGGGUAACGGCCCACCAAGCCUCUGAUGCCUACCGGGCGUGCGAGCGUGGCCCGGCACACUGGGACUGAGACACUGCCCAGACUCCUACGGGAGGCUGCAGUCGAGAAUCUUCGGCAAUGGGCGCAAGCCUGACCGAGCGACGCCGCGUGGAGGACGAAGGCCUUCGGGUUGUAAACUCCUGUCGAGGGGGAGGAAGGGGCCACCUUGACCGAUCCCUGAAGGA
rnacentral:rRNA from 1 species